AAAGUUGAAAAAUGAACUAGAAGAGAAUAAAGUUGUUUUAACCUUGUCAAGAUCCCAAUAUCAACUUGCCAUCUCACUCUCGCAUACCUCCUCAGUUCCCUACGCCGAUUCACAUGGAGCCCGAGCCCGAGGCUUGGCCUGAGUUUAAUUCGAAGGACGAAGCAUUCUCCUACUACCAAGCCCACGCCAAGUCCGUGGGCUUCUCCGCCAUAAUCAAAGCCAGCCGUCGAUCCCGAAUCUCCGGCAACUUCAUCGACGCCAAAUUCGCCUGCACCCGCUACGGCAUAGCCCCCACUCCAUCAAACCCUCACAAACCAAAACGGGCCCGAACCAACCCCCCUGGGCCCAAAACCGAUUGCAAGGCCUGCAUGCACGUCAAACGAACCCACCACGGUACUUGGAUCAUCUCUUCUUUCAUCAAACACCACAACCACCAAACUUCCCCUCACCAUAACAACAACACUGAUAAUAAUGCAAGUCCUUCAAGGAAACCUAAGACUAAAAGAACCCUGCACCAUUUGGGCGACCUUCAAUUUUUGCUCAAUACUCUCAUGUGUAUGCAGGACGAAAACCCUAAUUUCUUUUACGCGGUGGAUUUCGACGAGGAACAACGCCUCAGAACCGUUUUCUGGGUGGAUGCUAAAGCUAGGCUUGACUACAGCCACUUCAACGAUGUGAUUCUUUUGGACACCACGCAUGUUAAGAAUGACUACAAAUUGCCCUUUGUUCCCUUUGUUGGUGUGAACCACCAUUCUCAGUUUUUGUUGCUGGGAUUGGCCUUUGUGUGUCAUGAGUCUGAAUCAACGUUUGUGUGGCUGAUUAGGACCUGGUUGAGGGCAAUGGGAGGAUGUGCUCCCAAGGUGAUGCUCACGGACCGCGACCAAGCGCUGAAGAAAGCGGUUUCUCAGGUGAUUCCCGAUGCUUGUCAUUGUUUUUGCUUGUGGCAUGUGUUGAGUAAGGUUCCUGAGAAGCUCGGUCGUGUGGUGAUUCGGCAUGGGGAGUUUAUGAGUAGGUUUAACAAGUGUGUUUUGAGGUCUAGGACAAAGGAGCAGUUUGAGAAGAGGUGGGGGAAAAUGGUUGAGAGGUUUGAGUUAGGUGGUGAGAGUUGGUUGUGGGACAUUUACGAGGAUCGGGAACAGUGGAUGCCGGUGUUUAUGAAAGGGAGGAGUUUGGCUGGGAUGUCUACUGUGCAGAGAUCAGAAGCUAUGAACUGUCUGUUUGACAAAUAUGUGCAGAGGAGAACUACUCUGAAAGAGUUUUUGGAGCAAUACAGAGUGGUAUUGCGGGUUAAGUGUGAAGAGGAGGCAAAAGCGGAUUUUGAAACACUGCAUAGACAGCCGGUGUUGAAGUCCCCUUCACCAUUUGGGAAACAAAUGGUGGGGUUUUACACGCAUGCUGUGUUUAAGAAAUUCCAGAGCCAGGUUUUGGGAGCUGUUGCUUGUCAUCCAAGGAAAGAAAGCGAAGAGGGGCCGGUGAAAAUGUUUAGUGUUCAGGAUUUUGAAGAAAAUCAAGAUUUUGUUGUUAUGUGGAAUGAAUUGACCUUGGAAGCAUCAUGUUCCUGUUUUUCCUUUGAAUUCAAUGGCUUUCUUUGUAGGCAUGUAAUGAUUGUGCUACAGAUUUCUGGUGUACAUGGCAUCCCACCUCGGUAUAUAUUGAAACGCUGGACAAAAGAUGCCAAGAGAAGACAAAUAGCAAGAGAUGUGUCGGAUGUGGUUGUCUCCGACUCUAAGGAUAAGCGCUAUAAUAAUUUAUGUCAACGAGCCUUUGCGUUGGGCCAUGAAGGGUCUUUUUCGCAGGAGAGCUACAUUGCUGCUGUAAAUGCAUUGGAAGAAGCUUUGAGAAAGUGUGAGAGCCUGAAUGAUUCAAUUCAGAGUGUCGGAGAACCGAACCUUCCAUGUUUUGGUUCUCAAGAGGUGAAUCUAAGUAACAAUGCAGGUCACACUAACAAAAAGGAUAGUACUCUUAGGGAAAGUCAGGUAUGCCCAGAACCAGAGAUUAUUGCUAUGGGAGUUGAUUCUAGCUGGCAGCAAGUGGGAAACCCAACUACACGAUCAGCUGGCUUUGAUUGUUCGUUUGAAUCACAGCAGAGCAUUCGGGAGCUGGGUCAGCUGAACUCAAGAGCUCAGAACCUGAAUGGCUAUUUUGCUACUCAACGAAUUGAGUCAGGAAUGUACCAAUUGAAUUCAAUAGCUACUAUUUGCCGUGAUAAUUACAGCAACCAGCAUGGCAUCCAAGGCCUGGGACAGUUGAACUCAAUUACACCCAUCCAUGAUCCUCAUUACAUGGCCCCACAAAGGAUGAAUGGGAUGUGUGAUGGUUGUAUGACAUUAUCAUGAUGAUAUCCCCCAUGCUUGUAGGCUAGGAACAGUUACAUCUCACUUUCAGACAACCAAUAAUCCCAAGUUAUUUUGAUGUUCAAGAUAGUUCACCGAAUUUGGGUCAGCCUGAUGGAGGGUCCUCACAACUCCAUGAGUUGGAGGUAAAGGUAAAACAACAAAAUUCAAGGCACCAGUAUCAGUAAAUAGGUUAUAGGCUGACAUUGUGCGUUGUAUAUCAGCAUGUAUGUGUUUCAUCUAAUUGUAUGUAUAUAUUAGAAGUCCUUUUAUCGAAGGAAAUAUAUAAUAUUGAUUAGAAAUCAAAUAGUAUCAGGCAUUAUUUGAUGAGCCUAGAUUGAUCCCCGCUCGUUUGGUGGAGAUGUAGGACUUUUGUUUCUGAACAUGCGAAAAUGCAUCAAGCAAUACCAUAUUAUUAUUCUAGCACUAA